rnacentral:lncRNA from 1 species
GAGGGGGAGAGAGACAGACAGAGAGGGGGAGGUAAAGGGGGGAUGUAUAGAAGGGAUAGACCGGUGGAGAGGUAGAGACAGGUAGAGAGGUAGAGACAGGUGGAGAGGUAGAGACAGGUAGAGAGGUAGAGACAGGUAGAGAGGUAGAGACAGGUAGAGAGUUAGAGACAGGUAGAGAGGUAGAGACAGGUAGGGAGGUAGAGACAGGUAGAGAGGUUGAGACAGGUAGAGAAGUAGAGACAGGUAGAGAGGUAGAGACAGGUAAAGAGGUAGAGACAGGUAGAGAGGUAGAGACAGGUAGAGAGGUAGAGACAGGUAGAGAGGUAGAGACAGGUAGACAGGUGGAGAGGUAGAGACAGGUGGAAAGGUAGAGACAGGUAGAGAGGUAGAGACAGGUGGAAAGGUAGAGACAGGUGGAGAGUUAGAGACAGGUAGAGAGGUAGGGAGGUAGAGACAGGUAGAGAGGUUGAGACAGGUAGAGAAGUAGAGACAGGUAGAGAAGUAUAGACAGGUAGAGAGGUAGAGACAGGUAAAGAGGUAGAGACAGGUAGAGAGGUAGAGACAGGUAGAGACAGGUGGAGAGGUAGAGAUAGGUGGAGAGGUAGAGACAGGUAGAGACAGGUAGAGAGGUAGAGACAGGUAGAGACAGAUAGAGAAGUAGAGACAGGUAGACAGGUGGAGAGGUAGAGACAGGUGGAAAGGUAGAGACAGGUAGAGAGGUAGAGACAGGUAGAGAGGUAGAGACAGGUAGAGAGGUAGAGACAGGUAAAGAGGUAGAGACAGGUAAAGAGGUAGAGACAGGUGGAGAGGUAGAGACAGGUGGAGAGGUAGAGACAGGUAGAGAAGUAGAGACAGGUAGAGAAGUAGAGACAGGUGGAGAGGUAGAGACAGGUAGAGAGGUAGAGACAGGUAGAGACAGGUGGAGAGGUAGAGACAGGUAGAGAAGUAUAGACAAGUAAAGAGGUAGAGACAGGUGGAGAGGUAGAGGCAGGUGGAGAGGUAGAGACAGGUAGAGAGGUAGAGAGGUAGAGACAGGUAGAGAGGUAGAGACAGGUAGAGAGGUAGAGACAGGUAGAGAAGUAUAGACAGGUAAAGAGGUAGAGACAGGUAGAGAGGUAGAGACAGGUGGAGAGGUAGAGGUAGAGACAGGUAGAGAGGUAGAGAGGUAGAGACAGGUGGAGAGGUAGAGAGGUAGAGACAGGUGGAGAGGUAGAGAGGUAGAGACAGGUAGAGAGGUAGAGACAGGUAGAGAGGUAGAGACAGGUGGAGAGGUAGAGAGGUAGAGACAGGUGGAGAAGUAGAGACAGGUAGAGAGGAAUAGCCUGAAACACACUGUGGAAUGAGUGAAUGUGAUAAAGUUAUGUGGAGGAGGAGAGGAGAGGUGUGGUGG